GACGAAUGCUGGCUGCGUGCUUAACACAUGCAAGUCGAACGGUGAACCAGGGCUUGCCCUGGGGAUCAGUGGCGAACGGGUGAGUAACACGUGGGCAACCUGCCCCUCACUCUGGGAUAACUCCGGGAAACCGGGGCUAAUACCGGAUAUGACCUGGUGCGACAUCACACCAGGUGGAAAGAAUUUCGGUGAGGGAUGGGCCCGCGGCCUAUCAGCUUGUUGGUGGGGUAGCGGCCCACCAAGGCGACGACGGGUAGCCGGCCUGAGAGGGCGACCGGCCACACUGGGACUGAGACACGGCCCAGACUCCUACGGGAGGCAGCAGUGGGGAAUAUUGCGCAAUGGGCGAAAGCCUGACGCAGCGACGCAGCGUGAGGGACGACGGCCUUCGGGUUGUAAACCUCUUUCAGCGGGGACGAAGCGAAAGUGACGGUACCCGCAGAAGAAGCACCGGCUAACUACGUGCCAGCCGCCGCCGUAACAC
rnacentral:rRNA from 1 species